UCUGCUGUCGCUCGCACUUCACUCGAAAUCCGAGAGCAGGAGGCGAAAGGGGAAACACAUUCACAAGAUAAUGAAGCCUGAGUGUCGGUUCAUCUCACCGCGUUAGGUUUUUACGUGACACCGUCAAAAGCUCGCCGGUAAAUGUGAUUUGGCUGCACCCACCAUGUCCAGAGGUGCGUGGUCCAAGCGUUCGAGGUCUGGGGCAUCCCCGGGGCUGUGUGAGCCCCCUCAGGGUCCGGGCAUCCAUGUGUACCUGUUCUGGUCAAAGGAGGGUGAAAGAUAUUUGUCCCACACAGGUGGACAGGUCACAGCAGAGGAGCUGUGCAUCUCAGCUGCAGAGGCUGUAGGGAUAACUCCUUUGUGCCAUGUGUUGUUUGCUCUGUAUAAUCCACAAUCUCGCUGCUGGUACAGUCCGAACCACGACUUCAGUCCAGAGAACGCUGGCCUCGUACUUCACUACUGUAU